GUGGCGAAAUUGGUAGACGCACCAGAUUUAGGUUCUGGCGCCGAGAGGUGUGAGAGUUCGAGUCUCUCCGUCCGCACCA
rnacentral:tRNA from 2 species